rnacentral:rRNA from 1 species
UACGUAGGGGGCAAGCGUUAUCCGGAUUUACUGGGUGUAAAGGGAGCGCAGGCGGUAUGGCAAGUCAGAUGUGAAAACCCAGGGCUCAACCUUGGGAGCUGCAUUUGAAACUGCCAUACUGGAGUGCCGGAGAGGUAAGUGGAAUUCCUAGUGUAGCGGUGAAAUGCGUAGAUAUUAGGAGGAACACCAGUGGCGGAGGCGGCUUACUGGACGGUAACUGACGCUGAGGCUCGAAAGCGUGGGGGAGCAA